rnacentral:rRNA from 1 species
AGCUCCAAUAGCGUAUAUUAAAGUUGUUGCAGUUAAAAAGCUCGUAGUUGGAUUUGUGGCUUUCUUGGGCGGCCUGACACCUAGUGUUAGUGUUUGCCCGAGUUGCCAUCCUUGGGUGGAACCUGUGUGGCAUUAGGUUGUCGUGCAGGGGAUGCCCAUCGUUUACUGUGAAAAAAUUAGAGUGUUCAAAGCAGGCUUAUGCCGUUGAAUAUAUUAGCAUGGAAUAAUAAGAUAGGACCUUGGUACUAUUUUGUUGGUUUGCGCACCAAGGUAAUGAUUAAUAGGGACAGUUGGGGGUAUUCGUAUUCCAUUGUCAGAGGUGAAAUUCUUGGAUUUUUGGAAGACGAACUACUGCGAAAGCAUUUACCAAGGAUGUUU